AUGUCAUGUUUCUCUUGGCUAUCUGAUUUAACCAUUGUUCACACUGGACACAUUUUUAAGUUGGACUGUUACAUUGUUAUACAAAAGGUAAUGUUAACUCUUUAUCCAUCUCAAACACAGCGUGCUCCAGAAGAGGCUUGCUUCCAACGUUCUGCCCUGUGUGAAGAAGAGAUGGCAAAACUCCUGAUAAUGGACAAGAUGACGUCCCAGUGCUGUGCAUCUGAAACUGCAUCCGUUGAUGCGUGUUCAGUCUCCCAGAGAAACUUGCCUCUAGUGUCCUGCCCUGAGGGAAGAAGAUAUGGCUGGAUCCCAAUGAGAUUGCGAACUCCUACAAAGUGGGAUGGAAGAUGGAUACAUUCUGUUGCAAGGCUCCAACCCCCUUGA
rnacentral:lncRNA from 1 species